rnacentral:rRNA from 1 species
AACGGCCGCGGUAUCUUAACCGUGCAAAGGUAGCAUAAUAACUUGCCUAUUAAUUGUAGGCUAGAAUGAAAGGGUUAACGAAAUAAAGACUGUCUCAAUUAACUACCUAAAAAUUAAUAUUUACCUGAAGAAGUGUAAAUACCCUCGAAGGACAAGAAGACCCUAUAGAGCUUAAUCUCAAUUAUAGAAUUUAUCUAUAAAAAUAUUCGGUUGGGGCGACCCAGGGCUAAAUAAUCACCCAAGAUACAAAAGAUAUAUUAAUCUAUACAAUUGACCCCUAAAGAUCAAAAGACCAAGCUACCUUAGGGAUAACAGGCUAAUCCCAUUAAAGAGUCCAUAUCAACAGUGGGGUUUGGCACCUCGAUGUUGGCUUAGG